GACGAACGCUGGCGGCGUGCUUAACACAUGCAAGUCGAACGCUGAAGCUCAGCUUUUGUUGGGUGGAUGAGUGGCGAACGGGUGAGUAACACGUGAGUAACCUGCCCCCUUCUUUGGGAUAACGCCCGGAAACGGGUGCUAAUACUGGAUAUUCACUGGUCUUCGCAUGGGGUUGGUGGAAAGGGUUUUUCUGGUGGGGGAUGGGCUCGCGGCCUAUCAGCUUGUUGGUGGGGUGAUGGCCUACCAAGGCUUUGACGGGUAGCCGGCCUGAGAGGGUGACCGGUCACAUUGGGACUGAGAUACGGCCCAGACUCCUACGGGAGGCAGCAGUGGGGAAUAUUGCACAAUGGGCGCAAGCCUGAUGCAGCGACGCCGCGCGAGGGAUGGAGGCCUUCGGGUUGUGAACCUCUUUCGCUCAUGGUCAAGCCGCAACAAUGGUUGUGGUGAGGGUAGUGGGUAAAGAAGCGCCGGCUAACUACGUG
rnacentral:rRNA from 1 species